rnacentral:snRNA from 14 species
GUUCUUGCUUCAGCAGCACAUAUACAAAAAUUGAAACAAUACAGAGGCCCCUGCACAAGGAUGACACGCAAAUUCGUGAAGCGUUCCAUAUUAAA